AAGGGCAUAGCUCAGUGGUAGACUUCAUGCUUGGCAUGUAUAAGGUCCUGGGUUCAAUCCCCAGUGCCUCCA
rnacentral:tRNA from 1 species